GGCAAGUGGUCAGCGGUCAGCACGGCUCUCCCGCCUCUCGCUGCCGCCACAGUUUCCGCGGCCCGGCCGGGAGGCUGUACGGGGCAUUAUGGAGAGUUCGUGCCCAGCCCCCUGCCCCCUCGGUGGGGAGGGGGAGGGGGACGGGAAGUCGCCGGCUCGGGGAGGGCGGGGGAGGGGGAGGGAAAUGAUGGCACCGACCAGACACCAAGAAACCGGACCUGCAGCAGCAUCUCCCCAUGCAGCUCUGAACCACAGCGGCGGCUGCGACAGAGGGUUAUUAUGCUCCUGGCUCCCCUUCCUCUGCAACUUCACAGCCCAGUUUCCAUGUGGGAAAGGACCCUGGGGAUUGGCUGAUUCAAGCCCCUCAUUCCACUGCAAGGAAACCAAGGCCCAGUGACUUGACCAGAGUCCCACUGCAGAUGUGAAUUCACCUGACCCUCACACAACAUCUCCACGAAGAAUGGAAGGUUGGAGUGAUUCUGCAGACCCCAGCAGAGGAGAGCAAAGCUCAGCGGGAAGAAGAUGCAGCCCAGUACAAAGAGCAGGGUCAUGCCUGUCUGGGGUAGAGAAGGUGAGAAAAGAUGGCUGUGAGAACACCUCAACACAGUGUCCCUCAGACCCUCCCUUCACCCCAAAAACUCAAGGCCUAUGGGAUCCAUCUUUCAUAACUAUCAAAAGCCAUCAGGCGUAGCUCUUCCCCAAUCUCUUCGAGAUCCUUAAUGCACUUUAAAUAUGCCUCAUCCAGAGCAAUUGGACAUCCUAAUUUUUGGUUAUCAAUCCAUUUCCUACACUUGUAUUCAUUUUCCUUGUAAUUCCUGAAGCUGGCCUACACCUCCCAGUCCAUCUCACACCUUAAAAUUCCCUCUUUCUCUUUCAGCUCUUAAGUAUGUGCCUGCUCUUUCUUAACUCACCCCAUCCCAUCCUCUGUCCCCCCACCCCAAGCUCUUUGUGUCACCUCUCCCCUCUCCUAGGUCCUCACCUCGGAGGGGCAAGGUGGAGGCUAGAGAGGGAGGCUGGUGGUUCUCAUCAGUGCCCAGAACUCAGAAAAAAAGGAAGGAGGGGUGUUCAAAUUGUAAAGAUAACUGAAAUUUUAAAAAUAAUAUUUCUUUAAAAAGAAAAAGAAAACUCAAAGCAUUAUCCCAUUAAAGAAACAAACAAAACAUGGGAAAACCUCUGAAAACAUAUAUAUUUACAUAUGUUAUUUUUGUCUGGAAAAGCCUCCCCUCCCAUCCACUCCAGGGAGGGGAGGUGUGAGGAAAGCCCAGGAGAGAUGUAGGGAGUCAGGGCCUGCCAUCCUGCACCCCUUAAGCAGCUUUGAGGGGACCUUCUCAGGAUACAAGGAAAGCGUCAAACUGCAAGGGCAUGAGGCGGAGGCAGCUCUACAGAGGCAGUUGGAGGGGGCAGGAACAUCACCUUCCUAUUGGUGGAAUGGUGGACGGUUUGGAAUAUGCCGUCUUCCCAUUGGCCCACUUCUUGACAACAUGUGCUCCAUCAUAUGCUUCCUGGAGA